UUUUCUCCAAAAUCUACCCAGCUCUAGAGGACAAGGCCAAGGACACACGCAAACCCAGAUCACACGGAAUGGCUCCUCCCAGCAACGCGAGCCUGGGGAGAGACGGCAGCCCUUCCGGACUGCGGGCAGGAAACGCUGAUCCGGGCUACACCAUGGGUGUCCACGCUGCUCAGUGGAGGAAAUCGGACGCAAGAGACCACAGACUCUGUGAGCCCACUGACCCAAAACGUCCCGCGUCGCCGGAUCCACAGACAGAAACUGGCCGGUUCUUGCUGGUGAUCUGCCCAGGGGACACACUGGCCAACCCCAAGGGCACUGGUCUGGGGAUGGACACGCGCGACUUCAGGGGCCUGCAUGGCUGAGGGUCUCUCGUCCACAGUUCUGAACACAGCACAGGGAAAGGGCUGUAUCGUCCCAUUCACACCAAGGGUCCACUCGUGCCUGGAGACGCGUUGGAGGCCCGGCCUGUUGGGAAACGGCUUGGAACCGGCUGGGCAGCGACACUCAGGGCCUCACCCGCAGGCAGCAUCCUGCUCAGCUGGGCCCCGCCUGCCUCCUGCUUCUGUCCAUGAGCCUCAGCCCAGCCCCAGCACAGCAGCGGCCCUGGCCUGGCACACCCUGGCCACAGGCCGCCCCAUCCACCGCAUCUCCCCGGGUGUCCGAGCCUCCUCGCCAGAUGCAGGAAGGCAGCCUGCCUUACCGGCCUGCCCCCACUCCCGGCUCCAGUUUUCUCCACACUGGGCACCGGCAAACACUUGGGAACAUGGUCCUGAUUCCCGGUUUCCUGAAGUCCACGAGGCGAGCUGCGGGGCAGUUAGGCCGCGCGUCACAACCGCGGAGCUCGCUGGCCCCGGAGCCGGGCUCCGCAAGCAGACCUGCGGCGAUGAGAGGCUGUGCAGCCAGCGAAGCCGCUCAGUGCUGCUGGAGAGCCUGCGUGCAGCAGCGAAGACCAAAUAAAUUAAAACUUUUCAAUUAAGAAAAUAAAGAUUGAGGGACAAAUUAAACAAAAAAAUAAGAGCAGUUUUGAUCAACACGCACACAGUAGGGGUCGGGGAGGGCAUGCUGGCCGGGACGCUGGGGACACGCCACAUGGAGAUGGGGCCCCAGGAAAGGAGGUGACCCAACUGUGUUCCUCUCACAACCUCAACAAACUCAAACCCACGGAAACAGAAGGACAAGGCGCCC
ensembl:lncRNA